AUGGCGGACGAUACCACCUGCCAGCACCCUCCUUUUUUGAACAUUCCAUUAUCAAUAUUAAUCAUGAAGCAAAGGGUGCAAUAGUUCUUCAUAUCGGUUGAUUACAAAUCUUUUCGUUCCAUAUAACAGUGAUUUAAAGUGUACAAAGUGCUCUCAAUAAAUUAAAUACAUCCGCCAUAACCUCCAAUUUAUACAUUUUGGAGCAGACCAGCUUAAUUGACAUGCGAUCAAAUUUUUUAACUCAAGUGAUCCGACGAAUACCCAUGAAAAUUCAUUGGAAAUUAGGAUAACAGUGAAGACAGGGAUGUUUUCCACGUUUCACCUCUUAGGACGAUUUUGGUCAUGGAAGACUCCAAAUUUUCAGACAUAGGAAUAUGCUAGAGGGACUGAUAGUGUACGCUUAGAAAGGGCUGACUCGCCAUUUUAUGGCAUCAGCGAUCCAUCCUGAUGGAUCCAAUCCAUUGACUUCAUCCAAAGCUUCGGUAGAAGGGCCCCGGGACUACAAGAAAAGGUCUUCGAUUUAGUCAACGUCUUAUACGCAUUAGGUGUCAAUACACAAGCUGAGAAGGACGAGGAGAACACCACGCAACUGAGCUACCACCAAUCAAGGACCAUUUUCUAUGUGAAGGGGUUGGCCCUUGACUCCAUCGUCAUUUACUACCCUGAGGAAUUCAACUGGCCAUUAAGAUGUCCAAUCAGUCCUUUAUAGUUGAGGCACUGUUGUUGAUUCUUUGCUUCUCAAUCAAAACCCUACGUUUCUCCAUUUUUCACCAGCAAUUAUUCGAUGUCAUGUAUAUGAGAAGUGAUUGCAGGAGAGACAACUCGGAGAAAAUUUUGGUACUUCACCGUAGCAAGGAAAUGCCAAUAUUUAUCUUCGCUUGUGACAAAAGAAAGGGAGAGCUGGAGAGUAAGACUCACCGAUGACUUAGAAAUAGAGUGACCCAGCAAUAAUACAUAAAAGUGUAGAUCUAUCAAAAUGAGCUCCUUAUUGAAAUCUAUAAAUUUCUACUUGUCGAAAAUGAUAGUCGAAUGAAAAAUGAAAAGUCAGGCAAGUGAAAAGAGAAAGUAUCAAAGAUUUCCAUCAUUGAAAUUAGGUGAUAUAUUUAAAAAAAUUAGAAAUGAGUCUCUGAAAAUUAGCAAUAAACUGCAUUCGAGAAGUCACCCCGUUGAAUUUUAUAGUCGUUCAUUUCUAAAAUUCGAGAAGAGAUUCAUCUGAAUUAAGAAUUAAUUACAGAAAAUGAGUGAGAUGUAUCUAAGAAUCAAACCUUUAUUUCCUUUUUGAUAAAUUCUAAAAAAUAUACUGAGAUCAUUGUUUCACAUUUCAUGCCUACAAAAAAGAUAUCAACCAUUUUAGUAUCUCUCACAUUCUGAGAAUAUUCAACAAAAAAUUGAGUCAUAUCAACUCAUGUCGUUUUGAUAUUUACUGAGUAUCAAAUCGUAACUAAUAAGAUACUUUCAUCGCUUGCAAAAAAAUCAGCAAUAGAAUUAUGGAAAUGAGCUCAGUAUUUCACUUCCAGUACGUAAAUAUGAAACAAAAGAGUUGAAUUAAUGCGACGAGAUAAUGAAUUAAUACUAAAAUCAAUUUUCAUAUCAUUAGAUGCUUAACAGUGUUUUGGCACUUUGGCAGUAUUCAUGGCUAAACUAAUAAAAUUCAAACUUGACGAAGUAACGACGAUUAAACUCGCUUUCUCAUGCUUCCAUUCGUCUACAAAACAUUCCUACUCAACAGCAUCACAUGGCCCGACGGAUCCAACGUACAUAAUUGCAGAACGAAUUGACUGACAUUUUAAAUAACAAUUCUUUACAAUCAUAGCUUCACUGACAUUUCAAAUAACAAUUCUAUACAAUCAUAGCUGGAAAAGUUUCAUAUAAAAAAUGUGUCUUGACAUUUGAAGGACAAGGAAAAACCUGGCCAGGUUCAGUAGAAGUGAGAGUAUCAUGAAUAGUUUUAAAAGAGAAUGUCAAAAAUCCUUUCAUAGAGGUCCUUUUCGAACAAAAAAACGUCUAUUGAUAUUUCUAUUCAACACGUCUAUUGUUAUUUAUCCCACAAAUAACCAAUUAUUCAGUUUACUUCAUAAUUCCGUGAUUCAACAUUCGUGCAUUGAAAAUUUCAUUUUUCUAUUUUUUGUUCUCUAGGUCAACGAAAUAACAUCUCGCAUCCUUCGCUAAUUGGUGCAACACCUUGGAAAUUGGCGCAGAUUAUGGUAAAAGCACUAUGAUCUAUGAGCCUGCUAUUUUUCGUGGCUUCCUUAAAGAGACCUUUCUUUAUCAGAACACUGCACUAUAUUUAUAAUAGAUAUUAGAGCCUCCUUACCAAGUGCUUGUAUCCAGCUGAGGACAUUAAAAAUCAUAAUCGCGUAAAAUUUGUGUAAAAAUGAAAUUUUAGUUUACAAAAAACUUGUCAUUGGAAAGUGGUAGAAAUUAACUCACAUGAAUAAUAAAUUGUAAUGACAACAUAUUCUCGUGGCAUUUUCACUCCAGACAUAUUCUAAUGUAAUUUCCAGCAUUACAAUGCUCUACCCCAAGGUAAUUUGAUUUACUUUGAAAGGAAAGGUGAAUGAACAAACUUUGAUUAAAAAUUGAUAUUUGCAUGGACUGAAA